rnacentral:snRNA from 1 species
GUACUCACUUUGGCAACACAUAUACUAAAAUUGGAAUGAUACAGAGAAGAUUAGCAUAGCCCCUGUGCAAGGAUGACAUGCAAAUUUGUGAAGCGUUCCAUAAUUUU